GCGAGUGCGUUGUCUGCGGCGUGCGUUUGGCUGCUGCCGAUCGGGAUUCACAGUGCAUGGUUGUUCGCGCAUGGCGUGCAGGCUGAUCGCCUUGUUCUAGCGUCCAUCAAAUCAGCGUAGCGGCGCUGGCCAAGAGCGGCUAACAAAACGUAGCGAGCAGUCGUCAGGUGGAUGCGGACGGCGCGAAGGAACCGGAAUGUACGCGGGUACAUGCCGAUUCCGAG
rnacentral:sRNA from 1 species